ACGGGAGGCAGCAGUGGGGAAUAUUGCACAAUGGGGGAAACCCUGAUGCAGCGACGCCGCGUGAAGGAAGAAGUAUCUCGGUAUGUAAACUUCUAUCAGCAGGGAAGAUAAUGACGGUACCUGACUAAGAAGCCCCGGCUAACUACGUGCCAGCAGCCGCGGUAAUACGUAGGGGGCAAGCGUUAUCCGGAUUUACUGGGUGUAAAGGGCGUGUAGGCGGAACUGUAAGUCAGAUGUGAAAUCCCGGGGCUCAACCCCGGAACUGCAUUUGAAACUGCAGUCCUUGAGUAUCGGAGAGGCAAGCGGAAUUCCUAGUGUAGCGGUGAAAUGCGUAGAUAUUAGGAGGAACACCGGUGGCGAAGGCGGCUUGCUGGACGACAACUGACGCUGAGGCGCGAAAGCGUGGGGAGCAAACAGGAUUAGAUACCCUGGUA
rnacentral:rRNA from 1 species